rnacentral:rRNA from 1 species
CAGUACCGUGAGGGAAAGUUGAAAAGUACUUUGAAGAGAGAGUUCAAGAGGACGUGAAACCGGUAGGAUGGAAACGGAUAGAGCCAACGAACAAGCCCGUAUUCAGCUAGUCGGCUGCGUGCGGCAUGCCUGUGUGCUCGUUCAGGGUGCAUGGGUGUGUGCGGUAUGCGGUCGGCUAGUGCAUUUGCGGGUGAUGUGCGCUGAGGCGUGUGGCGGAGUCCUGCAAACUGUCUGGAGAGGCCUCGCCUUCGGGCUUGAAACCUACAGGCGGGGAGUCGGGUUUCUGCUGCAUGUAGACGAAGCGGCUAGGUGCAAACGCGCUGUCGUGCUGCCGGGCUAGCUGCUUGGCCGGUCGCAUGCGACUAGGUCUUGUUGGUUGGUCUUGGUGGUACGGCAGUGCCCUGGUCGACCCUCGGUGUAAAAGUUGGUCAUCUCUCCGACCCGUCUUGAAACACGGACCAAGGAGUCUAGCGUAUGCGCGAGUCAUUGGGUGGAAAACCCAUAGGCGAAAUGAAAGUGAAGGUCUCUUCAUGAGGCUGAUAUGCGAUCCGUUGCACUACGGUGUACGCGGAGCAGCAUAGCCCCGUCUCGACUGCUUGCAGUGGGGCGGAGGUAGAGCGUAUACGCUGGUACCCGAAAGAUGGUGAACUAUGCCUGAGCAGGAUGAAGCCAGAGGAAACUCUGGUGGAGGUCCGAAGCGCUUCUGACGUGCAAAUCGAUCGUCUGACUUGGGUAUAGGGGCGAAAGACUAAUCGAACCAUC